CGCAAGGACAGUCCAGCUUCCCAGCCUGCCCCGACUUCCUAAGCACUGCUACGGCGUCAGGAAGGUCAGAGAACUGACGCAAAGACGUCCUCUCCAGCACCGUCUUGAUCACUGGAAAGCGUUCUGACCUUGGGAAGAGGGGGUCGUCCACCCUCACAGCCCCCGCAUUCGGCUUUUCCUAGGGGUAAACCCGCUGCAGAGAGAGGCACAAAGGGCCUGUGCUGCCACAGACGCUUAUGCUCCCCCAGGGCAAUGGAGAAAUAAACGAGGCAUUUGCAUUUCACAACAGAUGAGGCUGGGACCAAAUGGAAACUCCACGGGCACUGCGGACCCCUCUUCCACCAGAGGAGCUGCAGCCUGAGACCAGCACCUGGCUCACUGCCAGCUCGGCCACCUCCUGGUCCAGGGGCUCUGGGCCAGUUACUUAAACUCUGCACCUCAGUUUCCCCGUCAGUAAAACUAGGUGAUUAACAACACUCGCUUGGCAGGGCUGCCAGUAGAAUUAGAAACACUGCAUUGAGCUUUCAAUGUGUGGCUGGCAUUGUAUAAACGAACAGCCCACAUGAGACAGAAGCACCCCUGCCUGGAGAAGCUACCCCGCCAUGCCCACCGCACCCAAACCAACAACACAGAAGGAAAGGAUCUCAGAAACACAGGGGAAGAGUCCAGGAGGAAUCUGGAAACCCUUUGUGGACAAGUUGACACUGAAGCCGGGCCUUAAAGUUGGGAUUCUGCAGUCAGAGAUGGUGGAAGGAGACAGAAUUUUCCAGGCAGAGGGAUGGCGUGAGCCAGGGCCUAGAGGCUGGGAAGGGAGCACAUUUGGGGAAUCAUGGUUUGGUGCAGGGUGCCAGCCCUGAACAGAUGCACUGGGACACACAGAGGUGUCCUGAGCAGGGCGAGACCUGCGUCCAAGGAGCUGGUUUGAGAAUGGGUUUGGCUACUUACUGGGAGAGCUUGGGUGAGUUAUUUAACAUCUGGCCUUCCGAGUCCUCAGAUGCGAAAUGGGCAACACAACACUCAUGCUCACGUGGUCAUUCCACAGCCUGAAUGCUUAGGCAUGCUUAAGAAGCACUGUGUAAACUGGGGAGCAUGAUGCAAACACUAGCAGUCUCUCCUGUGGGCCCUCCUGGAGUCCGAGGAAGGCAGGCCCGGUGGCCUUCUGGACGGGUGUCCGCCGCAACAUCGGGGAGAGGAGUGAAUCUCUGGGCCUCAUGCAGGCUGUGGGCAUUUCCUGCUGCUGCUGGGACCUCUCAUUCACUGCUGUCUCCCCAAACUCUGGGGCUGGCCCACAAGGCAGAGCCGUGGGAGCACACCAUGUGAACUCUGGACUUCCAGGCGGGUGUAGACGUCUACUGAGACCAGUACACACUUACGUAGAAGACAGCACAACACUGGAGAAACUCGGGUCAAGUGCUCUCCAGACAAAUGGAUUUCAAAUUUGGUUUCUCCUCAUCCUUGGAACAUAUUUAUUAAAAAAAAAACGUUUUGGGGCCGGCCCUGUGGCUGAGUGGUUAAGUUCGCACGCUCUGCUGCGGCGGCCCAGGAUUUCUAUGGUUCAGAUCCUGGGAGUGGACAUGGCACCGCUCAUCAGGCCAUGCUGAGGCAACGUCCCACAUGCCACAACUAGAAGGACCCACAACUAAAACAUACAACUACAUCCUGCGGGGUUUAGGGGAGAAAAAGCAAAAAAAAAAGAAGGAGAUUGGCAACAGUUGUUAGCUCAGGUGCCAAUAAAAAAAAAGUUUCUAGCAAAAAAUAUUACUCAGGAG
ensembl:lncRNA